rnacentral:rRNA from 1 species
GACGAACGCUGGCGGCGUACUUAACACAUGCAAGUCGAACGAUGAAGCCGGAGCUUGCUCCGGUGGAUUAGUGGCGAACGGGUGAGUAACACGUGAGCAAUCUGCCCUUGGCUCUGGGAUAACUGCGGGAAACUGUAGCUAAUACCGGAUACGACACCUUGGGGCAUCCCAGGGUGUGGAAAGAAUUUCGGUCAAGGAUGAGCUCGCGGCCUAUCAGCUAGUUGGUGAGGUAAUGGCUCACCAAGGCGACGACGGGUAGCCGGCCUGAGAGGGUGACCGGCAACACUGGAACUGAGACACGGUCCAGACUCCUACGGGAGGCAGCAGUGGGGAAUAUUGCACAAUGGGCGAAAGCCUGAUGCAGCAACGCCGCGUGAGGGAUGAAGGCCUUCGGGUUGUAAACCUCUUUUAGCAGGGAAGAAGCGAAAGUGACGGUACCUGCAGAAAAAGCACCGGCUAACUACGUGCCAGCCGCCGCAGUAA